UACAGAGGGGGCAAGCGUUGUUCGGAAUUACUGGGCGUAAAGGGCGCGUAGGCGGCCUUCUAAGUCGAACGUGAAAUCCCCGGGCUCAACCCGGGAACUGCGUCCGAUACUGGAAGGCUUGAAUCCGGGAGAGGGAUGCGGAAUUCCAGGUGUAGCGGUGAAAUGCGCAGAUAUCAGGAGGAACACCGGUGGCGAAGGCGGUUCUCUGGGCAUUACCUGACGCUGAGGAGCGAAAGCAUGGGGAGCGAACAGG
rnacentral:rRNA from 1 species